AUGUCGUAAAGUUGGAGAUACCUGUCCGUGUGGUUUAGAGUAGGAACUACAGACACGGUGGCGACUGUUUAUACUUUCGCGGAGUGCUGCUGUGGAGGGGUGCUCAGAGGAUGGUGGCCGGUGGGCGCUUCCAGGGAUGAGGGAGACAAACAACGAGGAGGAGCCUCAAACUUGCUUAAUCUGUAGCUGAGGAGAACCUUGAACAUCUGCUCCUUCCCACUUCACGUUCCACGUUCCUGUCUACAGACCAUUUGAAGUGGGAAGACCAACUUCCAACCUGAGUCUUUUGAGGCGGGAAGAUCCACCUUUCAUCCCGGCCACACCUUCUGCUGGCGGCCUGUAUAGAAAGACAUGGAAGAAGGAAACUUCUGCCCUUUGUCUGCUCGCCCUACGCUGGCUGCCAAGUUCAUCCCUUCCCUGGCAGCAGAGCCUACUUCCUCAGAUUCUGAUGUCUGGCGCACACCAGCUGAGACAGCCAGCCCUUGUGGGCUGAACCAUUGUUGGAGUCUUGGACCUUCGGUUGGUAGUCAGCCUUUGCUGAACUAGCUGGACCACAGGCUGCAAGUCAGUCUAAUAAAUCCCCUUUAUCUAUAUAAA